rnacentral:lncRNA from 1 species
CUUCAUGUUAGGCCCUCUCACUUCCAUUUCCUUCAUGAGGCAUGAAUCAUCCUAUUUUUCUUUUAUAGAUGAGGACACUUGGACACAGGGUCUACAAUGAGUCAUAUAAUCCUGGUGGACGAAUGCGGACAACUUGGUUGAAACCACUUCCUUGGGUUGUAAGCUGCUUUUAUCUUGCUGUUUUAAGUCUUGCUAUGCAAGAAGAGAAAAUAGAGGCUACAUCACAGCUACCCUUCCCUGCUUCAGAGGGCCAACCUUCAAGGAUCCCUGGAGACAAUGUUCCUCUUACUUGGGCCCCAGAGAUUAAGCCUGCACAGCCCUUCCUUCUAUUUGAAGUGUAUGAUAUUGAUAUCAGUGCUUUGGGAGAAUGAAGACUCUGAAAUGAACAUAUCACGCCAGGCUCCAUAAAGUCUAUGUUGCAAAGAGAUGUAUAGGCUGAGGUGGAGAAGGGCCAAGUCAGGCUUUUGCUCUGGAAAGCAAGCCUUAUGUAAUGAGUUAGCGCUUGUUUCCUGGCCUCAUCCUUAAUAUUUGGUACAUCUUCAUGAAAUAGGAAAAAGGCCUGGAUUUCUGAGUGAUGUUACCCCGGGCCCAACCACAAAUCAUCCAUUGUCAUUUCGUAGGUGCUGGCGAUGCCAUCAGUAUUAAUGUUCCUUUCCUCAUGCUGUCUUCUUUUAAAAAAAAAAAAAGCCCCCCCCCCCCCCCUAUGCAGUUGGAAUCUAUUUUCAUGGAGUUCCUCCAAUCAGGACUACAUCCAAACCAUUUUGUUUUUUGAGCCUUUCAUACUAUAUUUACUGCGCGUAAUGAAAAGCCUCGAUUCUCCCCAUGCUAACUAGUGAAACGUGUGAUGGUUGAAAUAUUCCACAAGUCCCACAGUAUUUAUGGAAAGAGACAAAACACACAGAAGAUGUGUGGUUAUUAAGUAAGCUUCUUAAUCUCCUGAUUCUUGCACAUUCUCUCUUUCUUCUAUGGGCUUUUCAUUGCCACCAAGUUGUAAAGGUUUUCAUUGUUUGGAGCCUGGCUUAGGGCUCCCAGGAAAGCUCAGCUCCAGGCAGGUUUGCCUUGUGCAUUUUAGCAUAAAAAAUGCAUGACACUUCUGCAUAUGCUCCAUAUUAAGCUUAACCAGGUUAACGCCCCUUUGCUUGGGUUCUUGGAAGAGAGUCCCAUAUUGUCACAUGUAAAGGGGGACAUUUCAGUGCUGACUUUCAUUUCCAUGAGAUUAAAAGUGAAACAUGUAACCACAAAGCUGGUUUAUGUCAUCCCCCUGUCGGAGCCAGCAGUAAUGCCAAAAAUUAGAUAUUUGAUAGGUUUGUGAGAGAAACAGAUGCAGAGGGAUGCCAUUCCCACAAUUUUAGACUCCUUAUCUUUAAGCUA